UUUUCAUCGUCCUCGAGCAUGAACUCAACCUGUUCUUGAGCUGAGGUUCUUAGAUCAUCCUCGAAUUGAGGGAAUGAAUCACAAGUUGAAGUGGCAUAGCGGAUGGCAGACAAGAAAACUUCUUUUGUGCCACUUAAUUCUGCUUCUUGUAUAUCCGAAAAUAUGGGCAUGGUAUAAGAACUAAGUUUCGAAAAUUUCCUAUUAUCUUGUACUUGUUAUUCUCCAAGGAAAAACCAAACGACUGAGCUACGAAGAAUCAAGGACUUUAAACAAUAUCAAAAGCACAUCCAAGAGAGUAG
rnacentral:misc_RNA from 1 species